rnacentral:lncRNA from 1 species
CCAUGCCAAAAGAAAAGAAGAAUGAUCUUGUAUGGAUUUAGGUUUUUUGCUUGACCAAGAAGCAACUUAUCCUUAAUGCAAAGAAAUUCACUUGAUCUUUGAUCAAGAUGAAUUUGAUUUGAAUCAAAGAAGGUUAAGCCCCUCAUAUGUCAAGGCUAACCACCAAUCAUUAACUCAUUGAUCAAAAAAGAAAAAAGAAGAAGAAGAAGAAGAAGAAGAAAUGGAAUGUACAUAAUUGAAA